rnacentral:rRNA from 2 species
AAAUUGAAGAGUUUGAUCAUGGCUCAGAUUGAACGCUGGCGGCAGGCCUAACACAUGCAAGUCGAACGGUAACAGGAAACAGCUUGCUGUUUCGCUGACGAGUGGCGGACGGGUGAGUAAUGUCUGGGAAACUGCCUGAUGGAGGGGGAUAACUACUGGAAACGGUAGCUAAUACCGCAUAACGUCGCAAGACCAAAGAGGGGGACCUUCGGGCCUCUUGCCAUCGGAUGUGCCCAGAUGGGAUUAGCUAGUAGGUGGGGUAACGGCUCACCUAGGCGACGAUCCCUAGCUGGUCUGAGAGGAUGACCAGCCACACUGGAACUGAGACACGGUCCAGACUCCUACGGGAGGCAGCAGUGGGGAAUAUUGCACAAUGGGCGCAAGCCUGAUGCAGCCAUGCCGCGUGUAUGAAGAAGGCCUUCGGGUUGUAAAGUACUUUCAGCGGGGAGGAAGGGAGUAAAGUUAAUACCUUUACUCAUUGACGUUACCCGCAGAAGAAGCACCGGCUAACUCCGUGCCAGCAGCCGCGGUAAUACGGAGGGUGCAAGCGUUAAUCGGAAUUACUGGGCGUAAAGCGCACGCAGGCGGUUUGUUAAGUCAGAUGUGAAAUCCCCGGGCUCAACCUGGGAACUGCAUCUGAUACUGGCAAGCUUGAGUCUCGUAGAGGGGGGUAGAAUUCCAGGUGUAGCGGUGAAAUGCGUAGAGAUCUGGAGGAAUACCGGUGGCGAAGGCGGCCCCCUGGACGAAGACUGACGCUCAGGUGCGAAAGCGUGGGGAGCAAACAGGAUUAGAUACCCUGGUAGUCCACGCCGUAAACGAUGUCGACUUGGAGGUUGUGCCCUUGAGGCGUGGCUUCCGGAGCUAACGCGUUAAGUCGACCGCCUGGGGAGUACGGCCGCAAGGUUAAAACUCAAAUGAAUUGACGGGGGCCCGCACAAGCGGUGGAGCAUGUGGUUUAAUUCGAUGCAACGCGAAGAACCUUACCUGGUCUUGACAUCCACGGAAGUUUUCAGAGAUGAGAAUGUGCCUUCGGGAACCGUGAGACAGGUGCUGCAUGGCUGUCGUCAGCUCGUGUUGUGAAAUGUUGGGUUAAGUCCCGCAACGAGCGCAACCCUUAUCCUUUGUUGCCAGCGGUCCGGCCGGGAACUCAAAGGAGACUGCCAGUGAUAAACUGGAGGAAGGUGGGGAUGACGUCAAGUCAUCAUGGCCCUUACGACCAGGGCUACACACGUGCUACAAUGGCGCAUACAAAGAGAAGCGACCUCGCGAGAGCAAGCGGACCUCAUAAAGUGCGUCGUAGUCCGGAUUGGAGUCUGCAACUCGACUCCAUGAAGUCGGAAUCGCUAGUAAUCGUGGAUCAGAAUGCCACGGUGAAUACGUUCCCGGGCCUUGUACACACCGCCCGUCACACCAUGGGAGUGGGUUGCAAAAGAAGUAGGUAGCUUAACCUUCGGGAGGGCGCUUACCACUUUGUGAUUCAUGACUGGGGUGAAGUCGUAACAAGGUAACCGUAGGGGAACCUGCGGUUGGAUCACCUCCUUACCUUAAAGAA